rnacentral:rRNA from 2 species
GGAUCCAGACUUUGAUUCUGGCUCAGGAUGAACGCUGGCGGCGUGCCUAACACAUGCAAGUCGAACGAAGCUUGACGGAUGAUUUCUUCGGAAUGAAACCUGAUAUGACUUAGUGGCGGACGGGUGAGUAACACGUGAGCAACCUGCCUUUCAGAGGGGGAUAACGGCUGGAAACGGUCGCUAAUACCGCAUGAUGUGUUCGGAUGGCAUCAUCUGAACAUCAAAGAUUUAUCGCUGAAAGAUGGGCUCGCGUCUGAUUAGAUAGUUGGUGGGGUAACGGCCUACCAAGUCAACGAUCAGUAGCCGGACUGAGAGGUUGAACGGCCACAUUGGGACUGAGAUACGGCCCAGACUCCUACGGGAGGCAGCAGUGGGGAAUAUUGCACAAUGGGGGAAACCCUGAUGCAGCAACGCCGCGUGAAGGAUGACGGUUUUCGGAUUGUAAACUUCUUUUCUUAGUGACGAAGACAGUGACGGUAGCUAAGGAAUAAGCAUCGGCUAACUACGUGCCAGCAGCCGCGGUAAUACGUAGGAUGCAAGCGUUAUCCGGAUUUACUGGGUGUAAAGGGAGCGCAGGCGGGACUGCAAGUUGGAUGUGAAAUACCGUGGCUUAACCACGGAACUGCAUCCAAAACUGUAGUUCUUGAGUGAAGUAGAGGCAAGCGGAAUUCCGAGUGUAGCGGUGAAAUGCGUAGAUAUUCGGAGGAACACCAGUGGCGAAGGCGGCUUGCUGGGCUUUAACUGACGCUGAGGCUCGAAAGUGUGGGGAGCAAACAGGAUUAGAUACCCUGGUAGUCCACACUGUAAACGAUGAUAGCUAGGUGUGGGGGGUCUGACCCCUUCCGUGCCGGAGUUAACGCAAUAAGCUAUCCACCUGGGGAGUACGACCGCAAGGUUGCAACUCAAAUGAAUUGACGG